rnacentral:rRNA from 1 species
AAUCAACGCUGGCGGCGUGCCUAACACAUGCAAGUCGUACGCGAAAGGGGCUUCGGCCCUGAGUAGAGUGGCGAACGGGUGAGUAACACGUGGGUGAUCUACCUUCGAGUGGGGGAUAACGUCCCGAAAGGGACGCUAAUACCGCAUGACGUUCCGGGUUUAAAGACCUGGAAACCAAAGCCGGGGACCGCAAGGCCUGGCGCUUGAAGAGGAGCCCGCGUCCGAUUAGCUAGUUGGCGGGGUAAUGGCCCACCAAGGCGACGAUCGGUAGCCGGCCUGAGAGGGCGGACGGCCACACUGGAACUGAGACACGGUCCAGACUCCUACGGGAGGCAGCAGUGGGGAAUUGUUCACAAUGGGCGCAAGCCUGAUGACGCAACGCCGCGUGGGGGAUGAAGGUCUUCGGAUUGUAAACCCUUGUCGAACGGGAAGAACGACUCGCGCAUUAACACUGCGCGGGACUGAUGGUACCGUUAAAGGAAGCCACGGCUAACUCUGUGCCAGCAGCCGCGGUAAUACAGAGGUGGCAAGCGUUGUUCGGAAUUACUGGGCGUAAAGGGCGCGUAGGCGGCCAUCUAAGUCAGACGUGAAAUCCCCCGGCUUAACCUGGGAACUGCGUCUGAUACUGGAAGGCUCGAGUUUGGGAGAGGGAUGUGGAAUUCCAGGUGUAGCGGUGAAAUGCGUAGAUAUCUGGAGGAACACCGGUGGCGAAAG